rnacentral:SRP_RNA from 1 species
GCUGGGAGUUGUGGCGUGCUCCUGUAAUCCAGCUACUUGGAGGCUUGGUGUGGAGAACGGUUUGAGGGCGGGGGUUCUGCUCUCAGUAAUUUUUCAGUUAAAAUCAUU